rnacentral:rRNA from 1 species
GACGAACGCUGGCGGCGUGCCUAAUACAUGCAAGUCGAGCGAAGUUUUUCUGGUGCUCGCACCGGAAAAACUUAGCGGCGAACGGGUAAGUAACACGUAAAGAACCUGCCUCAUAGACUGGGACAACUAUUGGAAACGAUAGCUAAUACCGGAUAAUAGCAUUAACUGCAUGGUUGAUGUUUAAAAGUUGGUUUUGCUAACACUAUGAGAUGGCUUUGCGGUGCAUUAGCUAGUUGGUGGGGUAAAGGCCUACCAAGGCGACGAUGCAUAGCCGACCUGAGAGGGUGAUCGGCCACACUGGGACUGAGACACGGCCCAGACUCCUACGGGAGGCAGCAGUAGGGAAUCUUCCGCAAUGGGCGAAAGCCUGACGGAGCAACGCCGCGUGAGUGAAGAAGGAUUUCGGUUCGUAAAGCUCUGUUGUUAGGGAAGAAUGAUUGUGUAGUAACUAUACACAGUAGAGACGGUACCUAACCAGAAAGCCACGGCUAACUACGUG